rnacentral:rRNA from 1 species
AAUGAACGCUGGCGGCGCGCCUAAUACAUGCAAGUCGAGCGAGAAGACGUAGCAAUACGUUUGUAAAGCGGCGAACGGGUGAGGAAUACAUGGGUAACCUACCCUCGAGUGGGGAAUAACUAGCCGAAAGGUUAGCUAAUACCGCGUACGCUUCUUGGACUUCGGUUCAGGGAGGAAAGCGAUGCCGAGGGUAUCGCGCUCUUGGAUAGGCUCAUGUCCUAUCAGCUUGUUGGGAGGUAACGGCUCACCAAGGCUUCGACGGGUAGCUGGUCUGAGAGGACGAUCAGCCACACUGGCACUGCGACACGGGCCAGACUCCUACGGGAGGCAGCAGUAAGGAAUAUUGCGCAAUGGGCGAAAGCCUGACGCAGCGACGCCGCGUGGGGGA